GACGGUGUUGGGACAUCUUCGUCCAUCCCAUCAUCUUUUUCCGAUCCGGAGGAGUUCCCGACUCUCAGACGUUUCAGAGAGUUUAUCGGUCCCCUCCUCCUCUUCCACCUCAGAUGCCUCCACCUCCUGCCCCAGCAGCUCCACCUCAGCCUGCACCAGAAGCAGCCGGAGUUCAUCCAGAUUUUCUUGUGCCUCCAUCUGCA
rnacentral:lncRNA from 1 species